rnacentral:piRNA from 1 species
UGUAAAAAACUUAGAAAAAACUACUUCCUGC